UUGGGAUUAGCCAAAUGGUAAGGCAAGAGACUCUGAAUCUCUCAUUUAUAGGUUCAAAUCCUAUAUCCCAAGCCA
rnacentral:tRNA from 1 species